rnacentral:rRNA from 1 species
AGUGAACGCUGGCGGUAGGCCUAACACAUGCAAGUCGAACGGCAGCACAGUAAGAGCUUGCUCUUACGGGUGGCGAGUGGCGGACGGGUGAGGAAUACAUCGGAAUCUACUUUUUCGUGGGGGAUAACGUAGGGAAACUUACGCUAAUACCGCAUACGACCUACGGGUGAAAGCAGGGGAUCUUCGGACCUUGCGCGAUUGAAUGAGCCGAUGUCGGAUUAGCUAGUUGGCGGGGUAAAGGCCCACCAAGGCGACGAUCCGUAGCUGGUCUGAGAGGAUGGUCAGCCACACUGGAACUGAGACACGGUCCAGACUCCUACGGGAGGCAGCAGUGGGGAAUAUUGGACAAUGGGCGCAAGCCUGAUCCAGCCAUACCGCGUGGGUGAAGAAGGCCUUCGGGUUGUAAAGCCCUUUUGUUGGGAAAGAAAAGCAGCAGAUUAAUACCCCGCUGUUCUGACGGUACCCAAAGAAUAAGCACCGGCUAACUUCGUG